rnacentral:rRNA from 1 species
UACGUAGGGGGCAAGCGUUGUCCGGAAUCAUUGGGCGUAAAGCGCGUGUAGGCGGUCCGGUAAGUCGGUUGUGAAAGUCCAGGGCUCAACCCUGGGAUGCCGAUCGAUACUGCCGGACUAGAGUCCGGAAGAGGCGAGUGGAAUUCCCGGUGUAGCGGUGAAAUGCGCAGAUAUCAGGAGGAACACCGGUGGCGAAGGCGGUGAUCUGGGCCGACACUGACGCUGUAGAGCGAAAGCGUGGGGAGCGAACAGG